AGUGAACGCUGGCGGUAGGCCUAACACAUGCCAGUCGAACGGCAGCACAGUAAGAGCUUGCUCUUACGGGUUGCGAGUGGCGGACGGGUGAGGAAUACAUCGGAAUCUACUUUUUCGUGGGGGAUAACGUAGGGAAACUUACGCUAAUACCGCGUACGACCUACGGGGGAAAGCAUGGGAUCUUCGGACCUUGCGCGAUUGAAUGAGCCGAUGUCGGAUUAGCUAGUUGGCGGGGUAAAGGCCCACCAAGGCGACGAGCCGUAGCUGGUCUGAGGGGAUGUUCAGCCACACUGGAACUGCGACACGGUCCAGACUCCUACGGGAGGCAGCCGUGGGGAAUAUUGGACAAUGGGCGCAAGCCUGAUCCAGCCAUACCGCGUGAGUGAAGAAGGCCUUCCGGUUGUACAGCCCUUUUGUUGGGAAAGAAAAGCAGCAGGUUAAUACCCCGCUGUUCUGACGGUACCCAAAGAAUAAGCACCGGCUAACUUCGUG
rnacentral:rRNA from 1 species